GAUGAACGCUAGCGGCAGGCCUAAUACAUGCAAGUCGAACGGUAACAGGUGUAGCAAUACAUGCUGACGAGUGGCGCACGGGUGCGUAACGCGUAUGCAAUCUACCUUUAACUGGUGAAUAGCCCGAAGAAAUUCGGAUUAAUACACCAUAGUAUAGUUGAGUGGCAUCACUUAACUAUUAAAACUCCGGUGGUUAAAGAUGAGCAUGCGUGACAUUAGCUAGUUGGUGAGGUAAUGGCUCACCAAGGCUACGAUGUCUAGGGGAUCUGAGAGGACUUAA
rnacentral:rRNA from 1 species